rnacentral:snoRNA from 1 species
UUUGUCCUGGCCUAUUUUUCUGCUCCCCUGUGCUCAGUUCUAACAGGGUAGUCUGGCAGGACACACAGUAAUUUCCCUCUCAGUUUAGGAGGGCCGUCCUAAGAAUGGGGCUGGCUCUUAAAGGCACGAGAGGACAGUUUAAAA